UGUAACACAGUUGUUCUGCAAAACAGUUUGAGAUGCUGACUUGGAAAAACAUGAUUAAAAGUAUAGCUCAGACUCCAGGAAAUCAAGGGAGCAAUGAUUUCUUAGUGUGUUGCUUGGAUCCUUCUGGGAAGCUGACUACAAGAUGGGAUUAGAGGAGCAGGAGCCUUACAGGCACUUUCUGUUUGUACUUCCUGGCUCGCUGAAAUGUCACCUCAUCUGCAAGGUCUCAUUGCCAGAUUCUGAGUAAUUUCUUCAGAUCUAUCCUCCAGG